rnacentral:lncRNA from 1 species
UGAUUACCAAGGGGCUCAUAAAUAUUGUUAAAGGAUUCCUUUACUCUACUAAAAGAAAUAAAAAUUUCGUAAACUAUAAUGAAGGUAAAUAGUUUAAAAUAAUUAGUGAAAAUAUCAUUUAGAUAAAAGUCCAUGUCUUUAUAAUAUAUGCAAAUAUGUUCUUAUAUUAUUGCCUUUUCUUUCCUAUAUUUUAUAUUUCUCAAUAUGUCUGCUAUAUCACUGCGUGGAAUACUUGAGACCAACAAGUUGGUAGGACC